UACAGAGGGUGCAAGCGUUGUUCGGAAUUACUGGGCGUAAAGGGCGCGUAGGCGGUUUAGUAAGUCAGAUGUGAAAUCCCGGGGCUUAACUCCGGAAGUGCAUUUGAAACUACUAGACUAGAGUGAUGUAGAGGUUGGUGGAAUUCCCAGUGUAGAGGUGAAAUUCGUAGAUAUUGGGAGGAACACCGGUGGCGAAGGCGGCCAACUGGGCAUUAACUGACGCUGAGGCGCGAAAGCGUGGGGAUCAAACAGG
rnacentral:rRNA from 1 species